UAGGGGCAAUGUUCUUAAUAGAGGACAAGUUAGGUUAUAUUUUAUAGAUAUUAUUUUGUAUUCUAAACCAUGUCCAUUUUUCAAAAACAGGUACAGUGAAAUCAAUUAUGCAGGUUCUUGAAGAAAGUCAUGGAUGACAACAAUGUAUGAUUUACCAGACCAAGGGAUCCCAAUGUUUUUUUGACGGUACUUGCUCCAGCUACUCAGCUUACUGUGAGAGAGUUAACACCUUAUUGACAUAUCUUUCAUGAAGAAGAAACACUUGAGAAGAGUUCAAGAGUUAAAUUUUAUAGAUGCAUGUUAUCUUCAAAAUGAGGGACCUGUCAACUUUUACAAUUCCAAGAUCAGGAAAUAAUUCAUGAGCAGCAACAUGC